GCCAAUCUCACGUGGUUCGUUGCGCGUUCUUAAAUUGGCGGGGCACGACGUGGAGGACUUUCGUAAAAACGUCACAACAGUGAAAUAAACUAUGGCGACAGGCGUCCAACAUGACCUGAUGAAGCAGGCACAGUGCUUUUGGUCAAUGCUGGAUGAGCUUGCAGAGACCGAUGAAGAUGCAUACAGGAAGUUCAUGGCCACAAACCUCUAAAGAGGACAGCAAGAAUUGACACCGGCCAAGCCAUGGAUGUGUGUUAAGACCCGUAUCAUGUAAUGGACGUGUGAACUCCUUCACUGCCACAGUCGGCUACAGAGUAACGCCUUUCAUGGGUUAAAGGAUUACUAAGUUGGACUACCGAAGCUGUCUGUAACUAAACUGUGCCCACAUCACCAGCGCUAAAUGGCAGAACCACCGGCUAAGAGAGUCAGAAGAGGAAAUGAGACACAAACUAACCCUGGUCCAAGCACAGCACGAGACAGUCAGGCAGCUGCAACCCAACAACUACCGGCUGAUGGAGUGAGGGAUGAUCAUGCGACUCAGUCCGGCAGCAGACAGCCUUCCCAGCAGGAACCAACAAAACAACCACCGCCGCAACUACAGCCAAGACUGGGUGAGACACAUACAUUUGUCUGUAAACCCUGCAUGUUAUGACUCCCCUGGCCCUGAUAUCGGUUCACUGACAGCAUCCUUCCCCUCCAUCCUUUGCUUUGACGCUAUUAGGCACAAUAUAUAGCAUAGCAGAGUCCCUGAAACAAGGGGGACCACACUGCAGACUAGCCCCUGUCACCACAUGGCGAAUUUUACUUACUAUCUGGAUGAAAGUGAAUUUUUCCGUUCAAUUCCGAGAACUCCCCUCGCAU